GUACUGAAAUAAGGCAAUGAAUGAAUGAAAUUAAGUCUGCUGAGAAAAACACAGAAUGACUUACUGGUGUCCGACGGACAGGAAUAAUCAGACUCAGGAUCUCCAUGGUAGUAGAGGUCCAUUGCCUGUGGGGGACAAGAGUAAUAUACCACUUGAUGGCUGUCCCGAGACCCAUGGGCAUCGACCUCCUCACCUGUGUAUGAGGCCACAACUUCCAGAAAACAACUAGACCCACUGCCAAGCCCAGUAUCACAAGAAGAACGAGAAAAAAAAAAAAAAAAAAUACACAA